GGGUAGGCGGUGCAGGUGAGGGAGUUUUGCUGCAGUUCUUUGUGUAUCUGAGGCCCUUGAAGGAAAUCCUUCAGGAUUCUGCCUUGGAAGGAGCCAUAUGAUCAUGGAGUAACAUGUCAGGAGCUGUUAGACGAAAUCAUGCUGGCUGUAUAUAGCAGUCUUGCUGCAAGAUCUUGGACACUUUUCACACACUGAACUUCAGAGGCUCAGACUGUGGGGGUUUUUCUUGGAUCUCAGAGGGUGACAAGAUAAGGCUGUGUGUACAACUUCAGGCUUGGAGGCCAUUAGUGGGAUCUGAUGGGUGCCUCCCAAUCUCCUAUAACAAAAAAAAGUGUGUGCCAAACUUCAGAGUACAGAUAGUGAUAAAAUAAGGGAAGGUUCAAAGCAGACAUAAGGUUUGGUUGUAGGUGGAGCAGACUCUCCCACUCUCACUGUGCUGCCUGUGUAGACCACAGACUAAUCUGUUAGGGUCCUGCAGACCCCAGUAGGAAAUACUUUCUUUCUCCCCUCUCAUCCACACCUAUUCUCCUCAUCACCACAAAUCCAUCACCCUAUGGCCCACAGACUUCUUCUGGGCUUGAGAAACAUUUCAUGGACUCCCAAAGAUGAAAAACAAAUCUGUUGAUGACAGACUAGGAUUUGUUAAUAGGACUAUGGUCUGCUGAGUGUACAGGCCUACCUGUACAUAUUAUAUGUGUUGCUUUCUUUCUGAAAAAUAGCAAAGGUAACUUAUCUGUAAUUGUAAUCACAGCAUUUCUUCUCAUUAUCUUAAAAGUAUUGCUACAACACACUUCUUUUCUUGCCUGUGCCUUGGAUCUGAAUCCAAUACAGGUCAGUCUAGCGUCAUGUUUAUAGAUAUUCCUGAUUAGUUCUUAGCUUUCAUUACUGAUCCUAUUGACAUGGGCCAUAUCUGUAAAUUAAUUUGCAUUGAAUAAAUGAAAACAAGGAAAAGUUGGGGAAAUUAAAUCCCACCAAAAUCAAACAGCUUGCAGAGUGUGGUGCCUAGAACAUUUUGUGUUGGCCUUGUGCAUAAAGACUUGAGAAUGCAACAGCUAUUACAUGUCAUUCAGCAAUUUCCUGUAUGAGUCAGUAAAAAAGUAUUUAUCCUGAAGAAACUGGCAGAAACCUGAGGCUUUUAAAUCAUUUGAAAAUGGAGAGGAUGAUGCACUUGAUAUCAUAUAUUCUGUAAGUAAGCUCUAAAGUGUUGUCCAUAGCCCUGAACUAGUCUUCAGUGCCUGGGAAGCAUUUAG
rnacentral:lncRNA from 1 species